CCAGCCGCUGCAAUUGGUGGUGACCACCAUCUCCGUCUCCCCGCCUUUCUCUGUCUCACACAUCCGCUAGAGGGUACUCUUACUUGAAUUAUUAUCGGUGCUGAAUUCGCAGUUACCCUCAAUAUUGGCUUCUCAGAUAGUUUGAUUAUAUAAAUUUCUUAAAAGAACAUGAAGAUUGUAAGCCAUGCUGGCAUCACGAAGCCCAGUUUUUUGCUUGUACAUUAUGAGUUACCUGCUCUUACAUUCCACAAGUCGCAUUUGACUUCGACUUCGUCACUGUGCAUUUCAAGUUAUAAUGAGAAAAGAUAUGGAUUGAUGCUUAGGUUGCACUGCUCUGCCGCUGGUAGAACCCUUUCAUCUAGGUCGUCAAACUUACGCUUGUCGAAGGAGGAUAAAGUAAAUACGAAGCGGGAUCAAGUUUCUUCUGCUUCUUUGUAUACUCAUCCUAGUUUAUUACAGAUGAAGAAUGAAAGGAUAGCCAACCGCACCCGAGUUUAUGAGUUCUUGAGGAGUAUUGGUGUUGUACCAGAUGAGCUUGAUGGCUUGGAGCUUCCUGUUACUGUUGAGGUUAUGCAUGAGCGAGUGGACUUCCUUCACAAACUGGGGCUUACAAUUGAAGAUAUCAACAAUUACCCUCUUGUACUUGGCUGCAGUGUGAAGAAAAACAUGAUUCCGGUACUCGAUUAUCUAGGCAAACUGGGGGUAAGAAAAUCCACUUUUACAGAUUUUUUACGCCGGUACCCGCAAGUCCUCCACGCUAGUGUUGUUGUAGACCUUGCACCAGUUGUAAAGUAUCUUCAAGGCAUGGACAUUAAGCCUAAUGAUGUUCCUCGAGUUUUGGAGAAGUACCCAGAAGUUUUGGGAUUUAAGCUUGAGGGUACCAUGAGUACUUCAGUGGCUUAUUUGAUUGGAAUUGGGGUAGCAAGACGAGAGAUUGGUGGGCUAUUAACUAAAUACCCAGAGAUAUUGGGUAUGCGAGUGGGUCGGGUGAUCAAACAUUUUGUGGAAUAUCUUGAGAGCUUGGGGAUACCAAGAUUAGCUGUUGCUAGAUUGAUUGAGAAGCAACCUUACAUUCUUGGAUUUGGACUUGAAGAGAAGGUGAAACCUAAUAUCAAAUCCCUUUUAGAGUAUCAUGUUAGGCAAACAUCUCUUGCUGCUGUUGUCGUUCAGUAUCCUGAAAUCAUAGGACUUGAUCUGGAGACAAAGCUUCUCAACCAACAGGGGUUCCUCAAUUCCAUUAUUGGAUUGGUUCCAGAUGAAUUUGGGAGAAUCGUAGAGAAAAUGCCACAGAUCGUCAGCCUCAGUGACAUGGCAAUAGUGAAUCACGUGGAUUUCCUCAAGGAAUGCGGAUUCUCCUCAGAACAAGUGAAGAAAAUGGUUGUGGGGUGCCCCCAGUUGCUGGCUUUAAAUAUUGACAUCAUGAAACGCAGUUAUGAUUACUUCAAAACCACAAUGGAUAGGCCAUUGGAUGAUUUGAUUAUGUUCCCUGCAUUCUUCACUUAUAGUCUGGAAUCAACCAUAAAACCAAGACAUAAGAUGGUUGCUAAGAAGGGAGUGAAAUGUUCGCUUGCAUGGCUACUUAAUUGUUCGGAUGAGAAAUUUGAAGAGCGGAUGAAUUAUGACUCCAUGGACAUUGAAGAGAUGGAAAUGGAAUCAUCAUUUGACUUCAAUACUCUGAUGGAACCAAGAAAUGACGAGUCCUCUGAUUAUGAGGAUAAUAGUGAUGGUGAGUAUUUAUAGAAUAAGCGGGGAUGGGAUAGCAGUCAGCACAAGGCAAAGGCUGCUGUGGAGAACCUGGAUCUUUUAUCAAAUUAAGUAGUAUUUUUCAUGCAGCAUCUAAGGGAAGAGAUGUAAAGGCCAACAAAGAGAGCGACGGGAUAGGAAGGAGGCAGAGAAAGCGUACACCUCUCAAGGGCUUUGUCGUGUUUGACUUAUUCGUGGUCUUGUUCUUCACUGAUGUUAUUAUUUUUACGUUCCCUACUUAUUUCCUAGUCUAGAUUGUGCAGUUCGGUGCUUAUGCUUAUGCUGCGUGCUAAAUGGCUACAUUGUUACCUUUUUUUAGCAUAUGGCUAUAUGACGGUUCUCUAGCACAUUGGAGUUAGCCUGCCUAGUCAUUUUUGAUAUACUUACACUUAAAAUGUAAUUCUUAUAUGGCGUGUUUGGUCGGUUGAAAUUUAGUUGUUUAUUCAAA